UCCGAAGGGGGCUAGCGUUGUUCGGAAUUACUGGGCGUAAAGCGCGCGCAGGCGGCCAUUCAAGUCAGGGGUGAAAGCCCAGAGCUCAACUCUGGAACUGCCCUUGAAACUGUAUGGCUUGAGUAUGAGAGAGGUGAGUGGAAUUCCCAGUGUAGAGGUGAAAUUCGUAGAUAUUGGGAAGAACACCGGUGGCGAAGGCGGCUCACUGGCUCAUUACUGACGCUCAGGCGCGACAGCGUGGGGAUCAAACAGG
rnacentral:rRNA from 1 species